rnacentral:rRNA from 1 species
CACCAGCGCCACGAGUGGGGACCGCUUUUAUUGGGCCUAAAGCGUCCGUAGCCGGGUUGGUAAAUCUUCUGUGAAAUUGUAAGGCUCAACCUUACAACGUGCAGUGGACACUGCUGACCUUGAGACCGGGAGGAGUCAGAGGUAUUUCUGGGGUAGCGGUAAAAUGCAAUAAUCCCAGAAAGACCACCUGUGGCGGAGGCGUCUGACUAGAACGGGUCUGACGGUGAGGGACGAAAGCUAGGGGA